CCCUUAGAUGUUCUGGGCUGCACGCGUGCUACACUGAUUACUUCAACAAGUGUUUUAACUGGAGAGUUCGCGUAAUCCUGAAAUGUUAUCGUGAUGGGAGUAGAGUAUUGUAUUUGUUAAUCUUUAACGAGGACUUCCUAGUAAGUGUAGGUUUAUUUGUUUUUUUUUUUACGUCCCUGCCCUUUGUACACACCGCCCGUCGCUCCUACCGAUUGAUUGAUCCGGUGAAUUACAUAGAAUUUUGCGUUUUACAUGACGGAAGAUGAAGUGUUUUAAACCUUAUCAUUUAGAGGAAGGAGAAGUCGUGACA
rnacentral:rRNA from 1 species